rnacentral:rRNA from 1 species
AGAGUUUGAUCAUGGCUCAGAAUCAACGCUGGCGGCGUGCCUAACACAUGCAAGUCGAACGCGGUUACCCCGCAAGGGGUGACUGAGUGGCAAACGGGUGAGUAACACGUGGGUGACCUGCCUCUGAGUGGGGGAUAACGUUUCGAAAGGAACGCUAAUACCGCAUGACAUCCUGCCUUUGGACAGGCGGAGAUCAAAGCCGGGGAUCGCAAGACCUGGCGCUUGGAGAGGGGCCCGCGUCCGAUUAGCUAGUUGGUGAGGUAACGGCUCACCAAGGCGACGAUCGGUAUCCGGCCUGAGAGGGCGGACGGACACACUGGGACUGAGACACGGCCCAGACUCCUACGGGAGGCAGCAGUGGGGAAUUGUUCGCAAUGGGCGCAAGCCUGACGACGCAACGCCGCGUGGAGGAUGAAGGUCUUCGGAUUGUAAACUCCUGUUGAUCGGGACGAAUAACCAUCGGGAUAACACCCCGGAGGUCUGACGGUACCGAUUGAGGAAGCCCCGGCUAACUCUGUGCCAGCAGCCGCGGUAAUUC